rnacentral:rRNA from 1 species
AACGUAGGAGGCAAGCGUUAUCCGGAGUUACUGGGCGUAAAGCGCGUGUAGGUGGAUCGGUAAGUUACUUAUAAAAGCCCCUGGCUAAACUAGGGGAGGUUGAGUGAUACUGCCAGUCUUGAAUAGAGGAGAGGUUGACGGAAUUCCGCGUGUAGUGGCGAAAUGCGUAGAGAUCCGGAGGAACACCAGAGGCGAAAGCGGCGCUCUGGGCUGCACCUGACGCUGAACUGCGAAAGCCAGGGGAGCGAACGGG